GGGCACAUGGUGUAGUUGGUUAUCACGCCCGCUUAGCACCCAUAAGGAGGCAUGCGGGCGGUCCCCGGUUCAAUUCCGGGUGCGUCCA